rnacentral:rRNA from 1 species
AUGAAGCGUACACGGUGGAUGCCUAGGCAGUCAGAGGCGAUGAAGGACGUGCUAAUCUGCGAAAAGCGUCGGUAAGCUGAUAUGAAGCGUUAUAGCCGGCGAUGUCCGAAUGGGAAAACCCAGUGCAUUAAUGCACUAUCGUUUGAUGAAUUCAUAGUCAAACGAGGCGAACCGGGGGAACUGAAACAUCUCAGUACCCCGAGGAAAAGAAAUCAACCGAGAUUCCCCUAGUAGCGGCGAGCGAACGGGGAGUAGCCCAGAGUCAGCAUCGAUAUUAGCAUCAGGAGAAGGGUCUGGAAAGGCCAGCCAUAAAGGGUGAUAGCCCCGUAUCCGAAGGUGUUAGUAUCGUGAGCUCGAAGAGUAGGGCGGGACACGUGUUAUCCUGUCUGAAUAAGGGGGGACCAUCCUCCAAGGCUAAAUACUCCUGACUGACCGAUAGUGAACCAGUACCGUGAGGGAAAGGCGAAAAGAACCCCGGCGAGGGGAGUGAAAGAGAACCUGAAACCGUGUACGUACAAGCAGUGGGAGCCCUUUGAGGAUGGGGUGACUGCGUACCUUUUGUAUAAUGGGUCAGCGACUUAUAUUCUGUAGCAAGGUUAACCGUAUAGGGGAGCCGUAGGGAAACCGAGUCUUAACUGGGCGUCAAGUUGCAGGGUAUAGACCCGAAACCCGGUGAUCUAGCCAUGGGCAGGUUGAAGGUUGGGUAACACUAACUGGAGGACCGAACCGACUAAUGUUGAAAAAUUAGCGGAUGACUUGUGGCUGGGGGUGAAAGGCCAAUCAAACCGGGAGAUAGCUGGUUCUCCCCGAAAGCUAUUUAGGUAGCGCCUCGUGAAUUCAUCUUCGGGGGUAGAGCACUGUUUCGGCUAGGGGGUCAUCCCGACUUACCAACCCGAUGCAAACUCCGAAUACCGAAGAAUGUCAUCACGGGAGACACACGGCGGGUGCUAACGUCCGUCGUGAAGAGGGAAACAACCCAGACCGCCAGCUAAGGUCCCCAAGUCAUGGUUAAGUGGGAAACGAAGUGGGAAGGCUUAGACAGCCAGGAUGUUGGCUUAGAAGCAGCCAUCAUUUAAAGAAAGCGUAAUAGCUCACUGGUCGAGUCGGCCUGCGCGGAAGAUGUAACGGGGCUAAACCAUGCACCGAAGCUGCGGCAGCAACAGCAAUGUUGUUGGGUAGGGGAGCGUUCUGUAAGCCGUUGAAGGUGGACUGAGAGGUCUGCUGGAGGUAUCAGAAGUGCGAAUGCUGACAUAAGUAACGAUAAAGCGGGUGAAAAACCCGCUCGCCGAAAGACCAAGGGUUCCUGUCCAACGUUAAUCGGGGCAGGGUAAGUCGACCCCCUAAGGCGAGGCUGAAAAGCGUAGUCGAUGGGAAACGGGUUAAUAUUCCCGUACUAAGGGUUACUGCGAAGUGGGGACGGAGAAGGCUAGGCUAUCCGGGCGACGGUUGUCCCGGUUUAAGCGUGUAGGUGGGUCGUGCAGGCAAAUCCGUACGACUAUAACACUGAGGCGUGAUGACGAGCCACCAAGGUGGUGAAGUAGUUGAUGCCCAGCUUCCAGGAAAAGCCGCUAAGCGAUAGGUAAUCCUUAAUCGUACCCCAAACCGACACAGGUGGUUAGGUAGAGAAUACUCAGGCGCUUGAGAGAACUCGGGUGAAGGAACUAGGCAAAAUAGUGCCGUAACUUCGGGAGAAGGCACGCUGGCGUUAGGUGAAAUGGUUAACCCAUGGAGCUGAAGCCAGUCGCAGAUACCAGCUGGCUGCAACUGUUUAUUAAAAACACAGCACUGUGCAAACACGAAAGUGGACGUAUACGGUGUGACGCCUGCCCGGUGCUGGAAGGUUAAUUGAUGGGGUAAGCCGUAAGGCGAAGCUCUUGAUCGAAGCCCCAGUAAACGGCGGCCGUAACUAUAACGGUCCUAAGGUAGCGAAAUUCCUUGUCGGGUAAGUUCCGACCUGCACGAAUGGCGUAAUGAUGGCUAGGCUGUCUCCACCCGAGACUCAGUGAAAUUGAACUCGCUGUGAAGAUGCAGUGUACCCGCGGCAAGACGGAAAGACCCCGUGAACCUUUACUAUAGCUUGACACUGAACAUUGAGCCUUGAUGUGUAGGAUAGGUGGGAGGCUAAGAAGUGUGGACGCCAGUUCGCAUGGAGCCAACGUUGAAAUACCACCCUUUAAUGUUUGAUGUUCUAACUUAGGUCCGUUAUCCGGGCUGAGGACAGUGUCUGGUGGGUAGUUUGACUGGGGCGGUCUCCUCCCAAAGUGUAACGGAGGAGCACGAAGGUUGGCUAAUCACGGUCGGACAUCGUGAGGUUAGUGCAAAGGCAUAAGCCAGCUUGACUGCGAGCGUGACGGCGCGAGCAGGUACGAAAGUAGGUCUUAGUGAUCCGGUGGUUCUGAAUGGAAGGGCCAUCGCUCAACGGAUAAAAGGUACUCCGGGGAUAACAGGCUGAUACCGCCCAAGAGUUCAUAUCGACGGCGGUGUUUGGCACCUCGAUGUCGGCUCAUCACAUCCUGGGGCUGAAGUAGGUCCCAAGGGUAUGGCUGUUCGCCAUUUAAAGUGGUACGCGAGCUGGGUUUAGAACGUCGUGAGACAGUUCGGUCCCUAUCUGUCGUGGGCGAAGGAAGAUUGAGGGGGGCUGCUCCUAGUACGAGAGGACCGGAGUGGACGCACCACUGGUGUACAGGUUGUCAUGCCAAUGGCAUCGCCUGGUAGCUAAGUGCGGAAGAGAUAACCGCUGAAAGCAUCUAAGCGGGAAACUUGCCUCAAGAUGAGUCUUCCCUGACAGUAAUGUCCUAUAAGGGGUGUUCGAGACGAGGACGUAGAUAGGCUGGGUGUGUAAGCGUAGCGAUACGUUGAGCUAACCAGUACUAAUGACCCGAGAGGCUUAACC